AUCUCUCAUCUUUUUUGCUAAGAUCCAAAGCAUGGUAUCUGUUCUUAUCAGCUUGAUAUCUGAAAUGGUCCCUAUUUGGGGCCAUUGAUAUUAAACUGAUUUUGGAAUGAGGCAAAGAGUUAAGGGCCUGCACCGCCUUUGCUACGGGUUGGCCUGGUAUUGCAGUACUUCUGGGAUUCAGCCCUUCUACC